UUAUAUUUUUCAUCGCAUUAAUAGGAUGUACAUUUAUCCUUAUUUCCUUUCAUCUUGGAUGACACCUUAAGCUAACGAGUCAAGUCGGAACUAAAGCUAGUAGGCCCAUCCCCUAAAAAGUCACUAGAAUUUCAUAGAUUUUACUCAGAUAUUGGGAUAUAUGAUGAUGACUUGAAAACCUAUAAUAACUUCAUCUAUUUAUAGGAGAAUAUUGUCAUGAGCGAGAAAAUAUGAAAUAGUGACAGUUCGUGUAACCAUGACAAGUUAAUCUUGCAUCCUCACAUGAGGUUCUACAAUGAAAAUUCUGUUCGUGGGUACAAAGAUCGAGAGUUCACUACCACAAGGCAGAGAAGGCAGCACAAAUGAAAAACACAUUGAGUUUUUGGCCAGCGCAAGUGUAGGAGUUUGAAUAGAACAGAUCUAGUUGCUUCUAUCCAAGGAGGCCGUAUGACACAGAUCUAGUAGCAAAUAAUGGAGACUAGCGAUGCAAAUGCAUCCAAAACCUAUGAGAUAUAAGGGAUGAAUGUCACACUUGUAUAAUAUUUGAGGGAUGAAAAAUACACCUUUUUAAAAAAAACAUCCAAGAGAUGGUGUCAAUCAAUCUUGUGCAGGUUUAGAACUAUCAUGUUCUCAUCCAAAUCUUAGUAUUCCCUCCAUUUUCAUUUACAUGUCACAUUUUCUUUGUCCUGAUCAAAUUUAUCCAACUUUGACAAAAUUUAUUAAAAAAUAUAAAAACAUCUACAAUACAAAUUUGUUUCAUUGAAUUCAUCUUGGAAUAUAUUUCAAAUUGUAUAUGUUGUUAACCUUUUCUAUUAACUUAGUUAAAGUUGGAUAAGUUUGACUUAAGAUAAAGCAAAUGUGACAUGUAAAUAAAAAUAGAGGGAGUAGUAGCUAGAAGAACGGUACAUACCCAUUUACCUCAUCAAAGUGUCUCAUGAUAGUAACUCAUGGGUAGGGAAGUAUGAAAUAAUGUAGGAGGUGACAAUCUAGAGAUUUGUUGGUCGCAAAAAUGACCCGUUUUGCGUCCAUUUUUGCUCUAAAAGUACGAUAGCAUUGAUAUUUUCUCAUAUUUUUAUUGCAUUAAUUACACUUAUUUGUAGUUGUCUUGGAUGAUGCCUUGAACCAAAUAACCAAUGCAUGGUUAGAAAGUAUGAAACAAUGCAAGAGCAACAAUCUAGAGGAACGUGCCACAAGCGGUGGUGUUGAUACUUUGUUGUGCAUAUAACAAAUCUGCAUGCUGCAUUUUUUUUCUCAUAUUUUUCAUCAUAUUAAUUGAAUCGU
rnacentral:lncRNA from 1 species